UACGAAGGGGGCUAGCGUUGCUCGGAAUUACUGGGCGUAAAGCGCACGUAGGCGGUCUUUUAAGUCGGGGGUGAAAUCCUGGAGCUCAACUCCAGAACUGCCUUCGAUACUGGAAGACUUGAGUCCGGGAGAGGUGAGUGGAACUGCGAGUGUAGAGGUGAAAUUCGUAGAGAUCGGGAGGAACACCAGUGGCGAAGGCGGCUACCUGGACCAGCAUUGACACUCAAGCACGAAAGCGUGGGGAGCAAACAGG
rnacentral:rRNA from 1 species